rfam:Janthinobacterium sp. Marseille, complete genome.
GCGCUCCUGCCGUGUUCGCCAUUGCCAUAAAAUCCUUGAACCAUUUAUGCGCAGCGGCUGCGGAAUUUUGUUCGACGGGAGUGCGCGUCGCUAGUCCGAUGAACCCGAAGUUGAACUAACUGUGGCCAACUUGAACCUCUUGGUUCAGGAUGCCGGCAAAGCGGCACUGGCGGGACUUGA